AUUGAACGCUGGCGGCAGGCUUAACACAUGCAAGUCGAGCGGAGCGAGGGUGCUUGCACCUUAGCUUAGCGGCGGACGGGUGAGUAAUGCUUAGGAAUCUGCCUAUUAGUGGGGGACAACAUUCCGAAAGGGAUGCUAAUACCGCAUACGCCCUACGGGGGAAAGCAGGGGAUCUUCGGACCUUGCGCUAAUAGAUGAGCCUAAGUCGGAUUAGCUAGUUGGUGGGGUAAAGGCCUACCAAGGCGACGAUCUGUAGCGGGUCUGAGAGGUCAAUCCCCCACACUGGCACUGAGAUACGGGCCAGACUCCUACGGGAGGCAGCAGUGGGGAAUAUUGGACAAUGGGCGCAAGCCUGAUCCAGCCAUGCCGCGUGUGUGAAGAAGGCCUUAUGGUUGUAAAGCACUUUAAGCGAGGAGGAGGCUACUUUAGUUAAUACCUAGAGAUAGUGGACGUUACUCGCAGAGUAAGCACCGGCUAACUCUGUGCCAGCCGCCGCUGUAAUAC
rnacentral:rRNA from 1 species